AGUUCCUCUCGUCCACUCCCAGGGUCGGGUCGCUGCAGGUGCUCCCCGCUAACAGCUUCCUGAGGGAACGCUGGGAGCUGAGCUGGUAAGAAGACGGCACGAGGUAGAAAUCGAUGGAAGUUGAUCUGUUUGGUGACGGGAGAACAGGAUGAUGGCAGAUGCAUCUCAGCCCAUGGUGGAGGCUUCACUCAUACUUUCUCCACGUAGUUGCCGGGGAAGGUGCCAAAGAGGCCUGUUCUGCGGGAGGUGCCCACGAACCAGCCGUCAUCACACUUUUCCAUCACCAUCACAAGGUCAUUCUCAAAAAGUUCCAGCUCAUCGUCAUUCUGAGGGACGGUCAGCUCCGGGUUCCAUCAGUGUAUCAACAUAAGAUACGGGGAAGAUGCCCUUACGGUUGCCUAUCCUGCCCUCGUACCAGUUCUCAUCAACACGCCGUGUCAGGACUACCAGCUCCCCUGAAAGAGAAGUUAAACAAGGCCCUCGCCACCUGCUUGAGAUCUGGGGUGCGUGCGCCCCGCAUGGUGCCAAGGCUGCUUUCAUCGUCGUAGCGGUUUAGAGGGAUCGGAGACUUCUGAAGAGGCCUGCCAGGUGAACCAAGACUUAGUCAUCAUUGUUUAUUCAUAUGACAUGAUCUAAUGACAGGCUUGCAAGGUGAAAUCAAUCACUUUUUAACAACAUUGUAUGACAUGAUAAGUACAUUUGUAUAUAGUCUGAAAAGAUCAACUGUUAGUCCAAUUUGUAAAAAUUCUCUAGAAACAAAAUUCAAUGCAUUAUUGAAUAAAUUAUGAUGAAUGUGUGUUUGAGAAAUACUAAAGAAUCUAAUAUUUUGUGCAUGAUAAGUGGUUUAUAAGAUUCAUGGAAUAAAUAUGAAAAAAUUAUAGCUCAGUAAUAGUUCAUGACAAAUAUUCCCACAUAUUUAUAGAAUAAGUUAUGUAAGUAAUGUAGUGUAAGAUUUUUUUGUAUGUCAAUUAUUUUCAUUGGAUAAAUUUGACAUGCAUAAAUAUGAUCUAAAGUGG